CAAGAGUGUCUGUUUGGUUGUAUUUUGUAUAUUUUCAGUGUUGCUUGUUUCCCUUGUGUUAAUGUUUCCUAGUGUAGUCUUUAGUGUUUCCUGGGUUCUUUUGUCAUUUCUUCUCCUUGUGUCUCUCUGGGUUCUAAUGUAUUUUCUCCCUGCCUCUGUGUGUUUCUCUCCUGUCUUGAUUGCCCUGAGUGUCCUCACCUGUGUUAUUAGUCUCACCUGUGUUUGAUUACCCCUGUGUGUAUUUAGUCUCAGUGUUGUCAGCUCAUUGUUGUUUCUCAUGUCCUAUGCCAGACUGCUGCCUCCCUGUGUUUCAAGUAUUCUUCCUGUGCUUUUUGACUUCUAGUUUUUGGCUUUUGAAAGUAAGUUAUUGUUUUGCCUUUGGCCUUUUUGUUUUUUAAAUAUCUUCAGUUUCAUUUUGCACAUGGGUCCAGUUCCUUGUUGUUUUCCCUGAAUGUGACAGAGAGGGGACCAUAUAUCAAUGCUGGUUUACUUCAAACCAGAAACAAAACUAUCUUCAUAUAUGUAAGCCACCUGAUGAGCUGCAGCUUGGCCUCAAUUUGCCCCCUUCAUGUUGUGCCCUUUUGGAGGAGGUUCGGCUGGAAAGCAAAUAAUGGACACAGCCUGGGAAAAAACAUCCGUCAGCAGCUACAUGCUCAGAUGCUCCAAGCUAGGCAGAUAUGGAGAGACAUUGAACAGAGCCAGAAAAGUUGCUUUAUCAUGACGACGUCUCUUAUCUAUAGAAACAGUUAUCUAGAAUCCCCACGGAGACAGGUCUAUCUUUACCCUUCAUAACUGUAAAUGUAAAGGACACAGAUGUUCUGUGGAAAAGAUCUUCUAAAAGACUAUUGCAUUUAAGGAGCUUUGUGUGUGUGUGUAUUUGAAUUGUGUCUUAUUUCUUUCUAUUGGAUCCUGAAGAGAAACACUACUUCUGUAUGUACAACUAACAAUAAAGCUUUGAAUUGAA